GCACUGCCAGCAACUUCUCUUCAGAGCCAUGGCCAGGAGGAUACUGCAAUUGGUUGGAUCAUGGCUUAAAAGAAAAAGUUGGGAUUGAUCCAGGCCUUGGAAGAGAGCAAAUUGUCUGAAAAAUUCUUAGCUUUUGUGGAAAAAAAAAAGAAAAAAGAAAAGACAAAAAUGUUAUCUGUUGCAAAUCUUAUACCCAGUUUAAAGCUACUAGUCAAUGUUUAUGUCCAGAUUUUGCCAUGAGGGUGAAAUGGACCCCAACUGGAUGAAUUCCUGAUUAUGAGCACUGGGGAUAUGUCGCCAACGGAAGUUACCCAUUCUUUGAAUUUUCUGAGUCAGCACUCUUCCUAACAAGAAAGUAGUUGCUUCAGAUUGCAAACCCCAUCCAGGGUUUCACGUUCUUACUGUUGAAAAUGGGUCUGGGGGUAAGACUCUAGUGACAUAUCCUUGACCAUCAGGCUCUGAGAACCUCUGAUGAAGGGGACAGUGCACAUGAAUGGUGACAAGCAAAUGACUGCCAGAGACACAAGAAAAAAGCUUUGCAGAUGCAAGGGAAGCUGGCAUCAGAAAUAAUGCCAUCGGCACAAUCUUCCUCAACAACUCAACUGUGUGGGUGUGUGAAUUUGCAGCAUGCAACCUGCACAGCCAAGAGAGUACUGAUUCCAGUUCCAGCCUCCCCUGCCCUGCUGCACACACAUAGGGGUUUCGGAAGGAUUUCCCACCCUUUGUUUUCUCCUGAAAUUAAACACAGAAGUUCAUGAUUGCUGACCUGAUGGGCGAGGAGUGGAUACUACCAGCUGGAACAUUGCCACUGGCAGGGGCAGACAAGAAAACAGGAAUGCUCUUAAUGUCCUCCCAAAGAAAACCUUUGAUGGACAAAAGAGUGGCCGAAGUGCAUCCAGGCAUUCCCAUAGCGCUCCCACCCCAAGGCCUUUGCCGGAGAUGUUCGGGUCACUGUGAUGGUAUGCUCGUUCCUGCCAACCCGGUCACUCCAGCCCCGCUCUCGGCAGCCCAAAGGGCAGCUAAGCCAUGUGGCUGCUCCUCUCUGUGAGUGGAUUCAGGCUCGGGACUACAAAAAGCCCCCCAGUCCUAUCAGCCCGGCAGAGCUGGUGCCAAGAAUGACAUCCUGGGAAUACUAUGGAGAUGGGGAGAUCCCAUGGGCUGUUCUCCCCGGAUGGAACAGGACCCAAGCUGUCUGGAAAACAGGCAGAGCAAAGAGCCAGCUGACAAAGGAAGGAGCUCAGGCGAAGGGAAAAGGGGGCGGGCUGGGAGCAGUGGUGAGCAAAAGAAAAGAAAAGCCACAUGCCACCCAGGAAGAUUCCAGGACUGGCGGGAGGAGGUGGAGGAGGAAGGACUUGCAGGAAACAAGUACCCAGACAUGGCACUGCCAGUCUAGCUGGAUUCUUUUCUGAAUUAGAUUAUGCGAAAGAAAGAAGGGAAAUAUAUAGCCAGCCAGCUGUUCAAAGGCUUACAACCUUGCUUUUAUUGUCCGGUGUCAUUGGAACUCGAAUUAAGAUUGAAAACUCCACAGGCACAUUUCCAUCUGUGGGUGUCAGCUGCUUGGUACACAGUCGUAAGAAGGCCUCAGCCAGUUCUCCCGUUACCUGAACCAAAUGUAUUUUAAAAUAAAU
ensembl:lncRNA NDP-AS1 NDP antisense RNA 1